GAAUCGUUUCUCUCACAAAGCUCGCUCCCUCUCCAUCUCACCAUCCUCGUCCCAACGUAUCCCUCCUUUCGGUACCUCUCUUUCGCUAACCUCACUCUCUCUGUAUCGUUAAACUCCACUCGAUCGUUACCAUCAUCAACCUCAACCCUUUCUCUCAAUCACUCUCGAAUCAUACAAAAAAAAGCUGAAGCAAAGCUCACCUCCGGUGGUGAAGACGGUAAUGACGGCUCAACCUCGCUUCUUCCCUCUCCCAAGGUUUCGGUUGGUGUGUAAAGGCUCAAAGGAGAAUGCUCAGAAGCCCUUUUUCAGAUGCUCAGAAGUGCUUUUAGCCCGUUUGAUGAUGGAUUUCGAAGAGUGAAAACCGGAAUACUCAUGUGCGAUUUACUGCUUGCAAGGGAAAAUGGCGAACUUGGGAGAUUUGCUCAUCACUGUGCGGCAUGACCUCUCAAGAACAGUCUCUCUGAAUGACACAACAGGGUCGGAUUUGACAAUUUCAGCCCCACCCAUGAAAUCAUCCUGCAAGUCCUUCAAACAGAUUUCUAGAUGAAGCUCUCCUGCACCAGCAACAAUGUGUUCUCCAGACUCCUCAAUGGUACAAACAAACAUAGGAUUAGGCUUAGCAAGACGCUUGAGACUUUCAACAGGCUUAGGAAGACUUCUUCGCAACAGUGAUUGAUGAACUUGUUACAGCUAGCCUGUUUGCCGAGCUCUCCUGGGAUUAAAUAAUUGGAAUCAUGCUGUAAAUUCCAGGAAAUUCCAAGAAUGUUCA